GACGAACGCUGGCGGCGUGCUUAACACAUGCAAGUCGAACGGAAAGGCCUCUUUCGUGGGGUACUCGAGUGGCGAACGGGUGAGUAACACGUGCGUAACCUGCCCUUGUCUUUGGGAUAACUUCCGUAAACUGGGGCUAAUACCUGAUAGGAGCUCCUUCUGCCUGGUGGGUGUUGGAAAGUUUCGGGGGUUGGGAAUGGACUCUCGGGUUAUCAGCUUCUUGUUGGGAUAGUGGGUUACCAACGUGUUGCCGGGUAGCCGCCCUGAGAGGGUGACACGCCAUACAGGGACCGAGAGACGGCAGAGACAGCGAAGGGAGGCAGAAGUGGGGAAGAUUGAACGAUGGGUGGCAGGCGGAUGAAGAAGCGCCGCGUGCGGGAUGACGGUCUUAGGGUUGUAAAACGAAUUCGCUCAUGACGAAGCUUUGUGUGACGGUAGUGGGUAAAAAAGCACCGGCUAACUACGUG
rnacentral:rRNA from 1 species